rnacentral:rRNA from 1 species
CCUACGGGUGGCAGCAGUGGGGAAUAUUGCACAAUGGGGGGAACCCUGAUGCAGCGACGCCGCGUGCGUGAAGAAGCGCCUCGGCGCGUAAAGCCCUAUCAGCAGGGAAGAAAAUGACGGUACCUGAAGAAGAAUCCCCGUCUGACUACGGGCCAGCAGCCGCGGUAAUACGUAGGGGGCAAGCGUUAUCCGGAUUUACUGGGGGUAAAGGGGGCGGAGACGGGGAUGCAAGCAUGGAGGGAAAGCCCGGGGCCCAACCCCGGGACUGCUCUUGGAACUGCGUGGCUGGAGUGCAGGAGGGGCAGGCGGAAUUGCUGGUGUAGCGGGGAAAUGCGUAGAUAUCAGGAGGAACACCGGUGGCGAAGGCGGCCUGCUGGACUGCAACUGACGUUGAGGCCCGAAAGCGUGGGGAGCAAACAGGAGUAGAUACCCCUGUAGUC